rnacentral:rRNA from 1 species
CCUACGGGAGGCAGCAGUAGGGCAUCUUCCGCAAUGGACGAAAGUCUGACGGAGCAACGCCGCGUGAGCGAAGAAGGCCUUCGGGUCGUAAAGCUCUGUUGUUAGGGAAGAACAAGUACGAGAGUAACUGCUCGUACCUUGACGGUACCUAACCAGAAAGCCACGGCUAACUACGUGCCAGCAGCCGCGGUAAU